rnacentral:tRNA from 1 species
AGAGGAAUGGCUCAAGGGUAGAGUGUCUGCCUAGCAAGUACAAGGCCCUGAGUUCAAACCCUAGUACCACAG